CACAAUCGGCAUCCCAUGGUGCAUCUUCUCCACAGGAAAAAAGUUCACAAGCAUUGGUUGCUCGAAGUCAGGCAAAUACCACGCCACUAGCUAUUGAACCUGCACAAUCCAAGCAAUCUAGAGGAAAAAGACCAGCAGCAACUUCCAAUACUAAAUCAAGUAAUAGCAAAAUGCCUGAGGGCUUUGGAUUGUACUACAGUGAGCGAACUGGUUCAUCCUUCAUUCAGUCCGGCCAUAAGAGGAGAUUGGUGUCUUUCGGAAGGUCUAAGUCCACUGCACAAGCAUCCGCAAAGGCAGUCGCUGGUGGGAGUGCCUCUGUUAUCAUUGAGACAAGUGCUGCUGGUCGGCUUGGCUCAACUGCAAAGGCAACCAUCAAUAUAACAGGCGGCCGCGCGAGCGCAAAUAUCCAAUCUACUUCUAGUGGAUGUGGAACAGCAUUAGGACAAAGCAGGACCUCUCAGAAAAAAUCUGGAAAUCAACUAGUGCCUUCAGAGAAGAGCAUCGUAUAGUACCUCUCCAAGAGUGAUCUGUAACUUUUAUGUUGAACCUAGGAGCUUGUUUGAACAUCUAGUGCUUCUGUUAUGCCAAAUAUGAGACCUGUCACUUUUAUGUUGAACCUAUGAGCUUGUGUGUGUGUAUGUUCUGCUUAGAUCUGUCACUUUUAUGUUGAACCUAUGAGCUUGUGUGAACAUCUA